CAACAGGGAUUGCCUCAGUAACGGCGAGUGAAGCGGCAACAGCUCAAAUUUGAAAUCUGGCCUAGCCCGAGUUGUAAUUUGCAGAGGAUGCUUCGGACGCGGCGCCUUCCAAGUCCCCUGGAACGGGGCGCCUUAGAGGGUGAGAGCCCCGUACGGUUGGAUGCCAAGUCUGUGUGAAGCUCCUUCGACGAGUCGAGUAGUUUGGGAAUGCUGCUCAAAAUGGGAGGUAGACCCCUUCUAAAGCUAAAUACCGGCCAGAGACCGAUAGCGCACAAGUAGAGUGAUCGAAAGAUGAAAAGCACUUUGAAAAGAGGGUUAAAAAGCACGUGAAAUUGUUGAAAGGGAAGCGCUCGUGGUCAGACUUGCGCCGGGGUGAUCAUCUGGGGUUCUCCCCAGUGCACUCGCCCCGGCACAGGCCCGCGUCGGUUCUCGUGGGGGGAUAAAGGCGGCAGGAAUGUGGCUCCUCGGAGUGUUAUAGCCUGUCGCGUCAUGCCCCCGUGGGGACCGAGGUCUGCGCUCUGCAAGGACGCGGGCAUAAUGGCCACCGGCGACCCGUCUUGAAACACGGACCAAGGAGUCAAGGUUAUGCGCGAGUGUUUGGGUGUCAAACCCGCACGCGUAAUGAAAGUGAACGUAGGUGGGAGCUUCGGCGCACCACCGACCGAUCCUGAUGUUCUCGGAUGGAUUUGAGUAGGAGCGUACAGCCUUGGACCCGAAAGAUGGUGAACUAUGCUUGGAUAGGGUGAAGCCAGAGGAAACUCUGGUGGAGGCUCGCAGCGGUUCUGACGUGCAAAUCGAUCGUCAAAUCUGAGCAUGGGGGCGAAAGACUAAUCGAACCAUCUAGUAGCUGGUUCCGCAG
rnacentral:rRNA from 1 species